rnacentral:rRNA from 1 species
GUAGGGAAUCUUCCACAAUGGACGCAAGUCUGAUGGAGCAACGCCGCGUGAGUGAAGAAGGUUUUCGGAUCGUAAAGCUCUGUUGUUGGUGAAGAAGGAUAGAGGCAGUAACUGGUCUUUAUUUGACGGUAAUCAACCAGAAAGUCACGGCUAACUACGUGCCAGCAGCCGCGGUAAUACGUAGGUGGCAAGCGUUGUCCGGAUUUAUUGGGCGUAAAGCGAGCGCAGGCGGAAUGAUAAGUCUGAUGUGAAAGCCCACGGCUCAACCGUGGAACUGCAUCGGAAACUGUCAUUCUUGAGUGCAGAAGAGGAGAGUGGAACUCCAUGUGUAGCGGUGGAAUGCGUAGAUAUAUGGAAGAACACCAGUGGCGAAGGCGGCUCUCUGGUCUGCAACUGACGCUGAGGCUCGAAAGCAUGGGUAGCGAACAGGAUUAGAAACCCCAGUAGUCC